rnacentral:rRNA from 1 species
GAUGAACGCUGGCGGCGUGCCUAAUACAUGCAAGUCGAGCGAACAGAUGAGGAGCUUGCUCCUCUGACGUUAGCGGCGGACGGGUGAGUAACACGUGGAUAACCUACCUAUAAGACUGGGAUAACUUCGGGGAACCUGAGCUAAUACCGGAUAAUAUAUUGAACCGCAUGGUUCAAUAGUGAAAGACGGUUUUGCUGUCACUUAUAGAUGUAUCCGCGCCGCAUUAGCUAGUUGGUAAGGUAACGGCUUACCAAGGCAACGAUGCGUAGCCGACCUGAGAGGGUGAUCGGCCACACUGGAACUGAGACACGGUCCAGACUCCUACGGGAGGCAGCAGUAGGGAAUCUUCCGCAAUGGGCGAAAGCCUGACGGAGCAACGCCGCGUGAGUGAUGAAGGUCUUCGGAUCGUAAAACUCUGUUAUUAGGGAAGAACAAAUGUGUAAGUAACUAUGCACGUCUUGACGGUACCUAAUCAGAAAGCCACGGCUAACUACGUG